rnacentral:piRNA from 1 species
UGUGACCUCUGUCGAAGAUUAUAAAGCC